rnacentral:tRNA from 1 species
GCGGAUGUAGUUCAAUGGCAGAACUUCAGCUUCCCAAGCUGAUAGUGCGGGUUCGAUUCCCGUCAUCCGCU